GUAGGGAAAGGCAAUAUCAGAGAGUGGUUCACAUUAUGCUGAAUUUUAUAGUACCUUGACAUUGUGAAUGAACCUUUGGAAUCUUUGAAAAGAACAUCAAGGAAAAGUCAGUUUCUAAUGUGCUGAGGAAAAUAUUCUGACAUGGUGAUAAGUGAGGUAAAAUUUUGAGGAAGAGGAGAUUUUACCUGAAUAAAUCUACGACUGGGGUGCUAAUGGUGCACCGCAACAUGAUUUCCUCUGGUGUGGGACUCACAGGAGUCUGGAACAGGCAGGAAGGGAAGAUUCUAACCACUGCCCAGGCCAGAUAUCCCUGGGGAUAGAUACCUCAUAUCUGUCAGAUAUCUGUCCAAUUGCAUGGAGUUUACCUUUCAUGAAAGCACAGGGACGAGGAGGAAAGAAAUGACAGUAAGACUGAAUUAUGAACUUUAAGAAGUUGAGAACAAGUAA